UCUGUAGCUCAGGUGAUGGAGCAUGAGACUCUUAAUCUCAGGGUUGUGGGUUUGAGCCCCACAUUGGGCAAAA